GUGCUCACUUUGGCAGCACAUAAACUAAAAUUAGAACAAUAUGGAGAUUGGCAUGGCCCCCACGCAAGGAUGACACUCAGGCUAGUGAACUGUUCCAUGUUUUU
ensembl:snRNA U6 U6 spliceosomal RNA